rnacentral:rRNA from 1 species
UACGAAGGAUCCAAGCGUUAUCCGGAUUCAUUGGGUUUAAAGGGUGCGUAGGCGGCUUUGUAAGUCAGUGGUGAAAUCUCUCAGCUUAACUGAGAAACUGCCAUUGAUACUGCAGAACUAGAGUACAGAUGACGUUGGCGGAAUGUGUCAUGUAGCGGUGAAAUGCAUAGAUAUGACACAGAACACCGAUUGCGAAGGCAGCUGACGAAACUGCAACUGACGCUGAUGCACGAAAGUGCGGGGAUCAAACAGG